GCGCGAAAACUUUACAAUGCUGGCAACAGCGAUAAGGGAACCUCGAGUGCCAGGUUACAAAUCUGGCUGUCGAGAUGCCUAAAAAGCAUUUCAUAGCAAGGGCCGGGCAAGACCGGUGCCAGCCGCCGCGGUAACACCGGCGGCUCGAGUGGUAACCGUUAUUAUUGGGUCUAAAGGGUCUGUAGCCGGCCGGAUAAGUCUCUUGGGAAAUCUGGCAGCUCAACCGUCAGGCUUUCAGGAGAUACUGUCUGGCUCGAGGCCGGGAGAGGUGAGAGGUACUUCAGGGGUAGGGGUGAAAUCUUGUAAUCCUUGAAGGACCACCAGUGGCGAAGGCGUCUCACCAGAACGGACCUGACGGCAAGGGACGAAAGCUAGGGGCACGAACCG
rnacentral:rRNA from 1 species